AUUGAACGCUGGCGGCAGGCUUAACACAUGCAAGUCGAGCGGGGACUUCGGUCCUAGCGGCGAACGGGUGAGGAAUGCUUGGGAAUCUGCCCAGUAGCGGGGGAUAACGUUUCGAAAGGAACGCUAAUACCGCAUACGCCCUACGGGGGAAAGGGGGGGCUCUUCGGACCUCUCACUAUUGGAUGAGCCCAAGUCGGAUUAGCUAGUUGGUGGGGUAAAGGCCUACCAAGGCGACGAUCCGUAGCUGGUCUGAGAGGAUGAUCAGCCACACUGGAACUGAGACACGGUCCAGACUCCUACGGGAGGCAGCAGUGGGGAAUAUUGGACAAUGGGCGAAAGCCUGAUCCAGCCAUGCCGCGUGUGUGAAGAAGGCCUUCGGGUUGUAAAGCACUUUAAGCGAGGAGGAAUGGCUCUUGGUUAAUAACCUUGAGCAGUGACGUUACUCGCAGAAUAAGCACCGGCUAACUCUGUGCCAGCCGCCGCAGUAAAAC
rnacentral:rRNA from 1 species